rnacentral:rRNA from 1 species
UACGGGGGGAGCAAGCGUUGUUCGGAUUUACUGGGCGUAAAGGGCGCGUAGGCGGCUUGGUCAAGUCACUUGUGAAAUCUCUGGGCUUAACCCAGAACGGCCAAGUGAAACUGACAUGCUAGAGUGCAGAAGGGGCAAUCGGAAUUCUUGGUGUAGCGGUGAAAUGCGUAGAUAUCAAGAGGAACACCUGAGGUGAAGACGGGUUGCUGGGCUGACACUGACGCUGGAGGCGCGAAAGCCAGGGGAGCAAACGGG